GACGGAGGGUGCUAGCGUUGUUCGGAAUUACUGGGCGUAAAGGGAGCGUAGGCGGAUAGUUUAGUCAGAGGUGAAAGCCCAGGGCUCAACCCUGGAAUUGCCUUUGAUACUGGCUAUCUUGAGUGUGGGAGAGGUUAGCGGAACUCCGAGUGUAGAGGUGAAAUUCGUAGAUAUUCGGAAGAACACCAGUGGCGAAGGCGGCUAACUGGCCCAUUACUGACGCUGAGGUGCGAAAGCGUGGGGAGCAAACAGG
rnacentral:rRNA from 1 species